rnacentral:rRNA from 1 species
CAGCCGCCGCGGGAAUACGUAGGGUGCAAGCGUUAAUCGGAAUUACUGGGCGUAAAGCGUGCGCAGGCGGUUUGUUAAGACAGAUGUGAAAUCCCCGGGCUCGACCUGGGAACUGCAUUUGUGACUGGCAAGCUAGAGUGUGGCAGAGGGGGGUGGAAUUCCGCGUGUAGCAGUGAAAUGCGUAGAUAUGCGGAGGAACACCGAUGGCGAAGGCAGCCCCCUGGGCCAACACUGACGCUCAUGCACGAAAGCGUGGGGAGCAAACAGGAUUAGAUACCCCCGUAGUCCCUGUCUCUUAUAC